GACGAACGCUGGCGGCGUGCUUAACACAUGCAAGUCGAACGGUGAAGCGCCUUCCUUUUUGGUGGGGGUGGAUGAGUGGCGAACGGGUGAGUAACACGUGAGUAACCUGCCCCCUUCUUCUGGAUAACCGCAUGAAAGAGUGGCUAAUACGGGAUAUUCUGGGUCUGUCGCAUGAUGGGUCUGUGGAAGAUAGUGUUUCGGUGGGGGAUGGGCUCGCGGCCUAUCGGCUUGUUGGUGGGGUGGUGGCCUAGCAAGGCGGUGACGGGUCGCGGGCCUGAGAGGGUGGCCGCCUGGAAGGGGAGUGAGACACGGUGGGGCUGAGUGAGGGAGGCAGCAGGGGGGAAUAGUGGAAAAGGGGAGCAAGGCUGAUGCAGCGACGGCGCGUGAGGGAUGGAGGCCUUCGGGUUGUGAACCUCUUUCGCCAGUGAAGCAGGCCUGCCUCGUUUGUGGGUGGGUUGACGGUAGCUGGAGAAGAAGCGCCGGCUAACUACGUG
rnacentral:rRNA from 1 species